rnacentral:rRNA from 1 species
AACGAACGCUGGCGGCAUGCCUAACACAUGCAAGUCGAACGAGACCUUCGGGUCUAGUGGCGCACGUGUGCGUACCACGUGGGAACCUGCCCUUAGGUUCGGUAUAACUCCCCGAAAGGGGUCCUCAUACCGGAUAAUGUCUUCGGACCUAAGAUUUAUCGCCUUUGGAUGGGCCCGCGUUGGAUUAGCUAGUUGGUAGGGUAAAAGCCUACCAAGGCGACGAUCCAUAGCUGGUCUGAGAGGAUGAUCAGCCACACUGGGACUGAGACACGGACCAGACUCCUACGGGAGGGAGCAGUGGGGAAUAUUGGACAAUGGGGGAAAGCCUGAUCCAGCAAUGCCGCGUGAGAGAUGAAGGGCUUAGGGUUGUAAAGCUCUUUUAGCCGGGAUGAUAAUGACAGUACCGGGAGAAUAAGCUCCGGCUAACUCCGUG